UUUUGUUGGUAUUGAAAGAUCCCCAAAGAGAGACCCUUACUCAAGUCUCGGGAAAUUGCGGACCCCAGACACAGAGAGACCA
rnacentral:pre_miRNA from 14 species